rnacentral:rRNA from 1 species
UACGUAGGGUGCAAGCGUUGUCCGGAAUUAUUGGGCGUAAAGAGCUCGUAGGCGGUUUGUCGCGUCUGCUGUGAAAACUCGGGGCUUAACCCCGGGCCUGCAGUGGGUACGGGCAGACUAGAGUGCGGUAGGGGAGACUGGAAUUCCUGGUGUAGCGGUGAAAUGCGCAGAUAUCAGGAGGAACACCGGUGGCGAAGGCGGGUCUCUGGGCCGUAACUGACGCUGAGGAGCGACAGCGUGGGGAGCAAACAGG